CAGGGACUUAGAAAAGCUUAGACAUUCAUAGGAAUAAGACCUCCAGCUAUUUAUGGGUUGAUUACAAGCUCAGUAUGAUUCAAUUGAUGAUUAGAUAGUAGACAUCACCUGUUACGAUUGGAGCCCUGUGGCCAAGAGGACGCCUGUGAACUAUUUCACCUGAUUAGGCCACGCUGGGAUUUUUUGCUUGGGUGAGAGGUCGUGCUUCCCCAGGACACGGGCAGCAGCCUGGAGAGAGGAGUCUCAGAGGGUAACCCUGCUCUUCUCAAAUAUGGAAAGCUCCUAUGUGGAAGGGCAGUGAGUGGGAUUUAUCUUUUUCUGGGGAUUCCAGAUGGCAGAAAAUUAGGCCCACACUGCUGAGCGGGAUUUGAGUGUGAGAAUCCAAGUACAGAAGCUGAAUUUGGGAAAAUAGUCUUGCUAAAGAAAGUGGCAGAUUUUCCCAAUUCCACAUUUUGGAAGUAUCAAGAGCUGUUUCAUGAGAUAAGCUGGCGAGAGGAAAUAGACUACUCUGGUAGGAAACUAGAGCAGCAGAAUGAAGUUUGAGAUCAUCCCAAAAGAUGUAUGUCUGCACCACAUUUUUCUUGACAGGAGAAAAAGUGACAAGAGCUAAUUAAAGGAAAACAGAAUGUUCUUUUUUGAUGGCCCAACAGACAAUUCUUUUC
rnacentral:lncRNA from 1 species